rnacentral:rRNA from 1 species
CGUGCAGGCGGUUUCGUAAGUCGGACGUGAAAGCUCCUGGCUUAACUGGGAGAGGCCGUUCGAUACUGCGAGACUUGAGGUCGGGAGAGGGACGUGGAAUUCCCGGUGUAGUGGUGGAAUGCGUAGAUAUCGGGAGGAACACCAGUGGCGAAGGCGGCGUCCUGGCCCGCACCUGACGCCGAGACGCGAAAGCGUGGGUAGCGAACG